rfam:Rattus norvegicus chromosome 7, whole genome shotgun sequence.
GGGGAUUUAGCUCAGUGGAGAGCGCUUGCCUAGCAAGCGCAAGGCCCUGGGUUCGGUCCCCAGCUCCA